rnacentral:misc_RNA from 1 species
GGAUUAUGAGGGGAGCUUGCUAUGCGUUGGGAAUUUGUUGAUGUCUUGGAGUCCUAAGAAAUUUUCAGAAAUUACGCCUGAGAGCCUAUCUAUCUUCCAGAUUGUGCGGCCUAUUCCAGAAAUUCUAUUACUUGGCUGUGGGAGAUAUACUGAACCAGUAAAUCCUGAAUUGAGGCAGUUUAUCCGUUCCACUGGCAUGAAGUUGGAAGCUGUAGACACGAG